UACUAGAAAGGGAAGGAGCGAGGAGGAGACAAACGCCGCCGAGGCCCCGAGCUGCUCAUGGCAUCCGCGGCUCAGCCAAGCUGUUGUUUUAAAAGAGCAAUAAAAAUGAAUUAUGACUAAACGCCUUCUAACUUAAUGCUUUCGGACGGGGAUCCCCGGCAAAUACGUAAGAGGAUUUUUAUUUGUGCAUGUGUUCCUGCAAUUGAUCUCUUUGAUGACAUUCUCAUUCAUAGAAAGCGUUUGAUUUAUGAGCGUAGGACGAAUCGCAAACAGCAGCGGCUCAGCCCCGGCUGCGGCCGGGCUGCCCUGCUCAGCUCCGCGCCUGGGGCUGGAGACCCGCCGGGGUCCUCACACGCCUCCGCCGCUGCCAGGAUGUAGGGGGCAAAAGGGUGAAGGAAGAUAGGGUGCAAACCCAUGGAGAAAGAGCGCGAUUUCAUUGUAACUUCCAAGCCUUAACUAUUAAGAGCCGGGUUCCUGAAUCAACCCGCCCCCCACACAUGUUGCUUACACACUGCGUUUUCUCACGGUAAGUAGCCAUCACAACAGAGCUCAGUAAGGAAAAAAUCAGCAUGGGGAGAUAUAAGAAGGGAGGGGGGGGGGAGCAAGACAGCCCAGGAACGUGCCCUAGAUUACAUUUUAUUGAUAUUUCAUUUAAAGUGCUUUUUCUCUUUCUCUCUCUAGAAACUGGGUUAAUUUAUAACCUAGGGCGCAGAAACUCUCCAUUUUAAAUCUCAACUUGGUAACCUGGCUUCAAAGCUUUAAUGAUCCAUUAUUUGCCAUGUAAACAGAUUUAAGAAUGAAAUAUUGAUUUUUCUGACCCUGAAAAAAAGAAUCCUAGAAUGACUGGACCAGAGGAUUGGAAAGAACGCUUUCUGAAGUGCAUUUUCCAGCUAGUAACCAUGUUUUGUUUUAUUUUUGUUUUCUCUACCUUUUAGGUCUGUUUGCCUGGACCCAUCAACAUCUGGGAGACUAAUCAACCACACUGAAAAUGUUUCCGGGGGAUUGUGGGGGAGGGGGUUGGAAUGUAGAUGUUUGAAACAAAUGUGUAUAAAUAAAUGAAUUGUUGAUAACUUAGUUAUUGACCUGGAGACUGGUAGCUUGUUAAAGAAACUCCAUGUUCCUUCUUCCUGGAGUUGGGCGGUUUCUGUAGGCACUUUUAUUUCUCCACUUUCAAAAGCUUGGGCUUGGCCCAACUGUGAGGCUGCCCAAUCCUGUUUCUAUUACCAAUUUAAAUCUAUGGCUUGAACCUCUACACUGAAAAACCAAAUCCAUUCCCUUUAAAAAGAGAGGAAAAAAAAAA
rnacentral:lncRNA from 1 species